GGCAAAGUGCCAGAGUGGUUAAUGGGUCAGCCUCGAAAAAGCUGAUCUGCCUCAUAAGCCGAUCAGCUUAAUACGUAAGCUGAUGACUUCGGUCGCGCAGGUUCGAGUCCUGUCUUUGUCG
rfam:Microdochium bolleyi strain J235TASD1 unplaced genomic scaffold Micbo1qcscaffold_4, whole genome shotgun sequence.